GGAGGGGUAGCGAAGUGGCUAAGCGCGGCGGACUGUAAAUCCGCUCCUUCGGGUUCGGCAGUUCGAAUCUGCCCCCCUCCACCA
rnacentral:tRNA from 1 species